rnacentral:rRNA from 1 species
UGGGGAAUAUUGGACAAUGGGCGAAAGCCUGAUCCAGCCAUGCCGCGUGUGUGAAGAAGGCCUUUUGGUUGUAAAGCACUUUAAGCGAGGAGGAGGCUACUAGUACUAAUACUACUGGAUAGUGGACGUUACUCGCAGAAUAAGCACCGGCUAACUCUGUGCCAGCAGCCGCGGUAAUACAGAGGGUGCGAGCGUUAAUCGGAUUUACUGGGCGUAAAGCGUGCGUAGGCGGCUGUUUAAGUCGGAUGUGAAAUCCCUGAGCUUAACUUGGGAAUUGCAUUCGAUACUGGUUAGCUAGAGUGUGGGAGAGGAUGGUAGAAUUCCAGGUGUAGCGGUGAAAUGCGUAGAGAUCUGGAGGAAUACCGAUGGCGAAGGCAGCCAUCUGGCCUAACCCUGACGCUGAGGUACGAAAGCAUGGGGAGCAAACAGG